rnacentral:rRNA from 1 species
UACGUAGGGUGCGAGCGUUUGUCCGGAAUUAUUGGGCGUAAAGGGCUCGUAGGCGGUUUGUCGCGUCGGGAGUGAAAACGCCGUGCUUAACACGGCGCUUGCUUUCGAUACGGGCAGACUAGAGGUAUUCAGGGGAGAACGGAAUUCCUGGUGUAGCGGUGAAAUGCGCAGAUAUCAGGAGGAACACCGGUGGCGAAGGCGGUUCUCUGGGCAUGUCCUGACGCUGAGGAGCGAAAGUGUGGGGAGCGAACAGG